rnacentral:miRNA from 1 species
UAGAGAUAGUCUUUUAGUCAUU